AUUUUCUUAAUAUAAUAGUAUAGGUGGCUUCCAACCACCCAGUCCUGGUUUGACCCCGGGAGGAAAUA
rnacentral:tRNA from 1 species